GCCCUGGUAGUGUAGUGGUUAUCAUCCCGGCCUGUCGAGCCGGAGACCCGGGUUCAAUUCCCGGCCAGGGCG
rnacentral:tRNA from 1 species